rnacentral:tRNA from 2 species
AAGUUAAGGAAUCCAAGAAAAAGCUUCUAACUUAUUCUUAAGCGGUGAAAUCCGUUUUUAACUUU